UACGUAGGGGCGCAAGCGUUUGUCCGGAAUUAUUGGGCGUAAAGAGCUCGUAGGCGGUUUGUCGCGUCUGUCGUGAAAGCUUGGGGCUUAACCCCAAGUCUGCGGUGGAUACGGGCAGACUAGAGUUCGGAAGAGGCGAGUGGAAUUCCGCGUGUAGCAGUGAAAUGCGUAGAUAUGCGGAGGAACACCGAUGGCGAAGGCAAUCCCCCUGGGCCUGCACUGACGCUCAUGCACGAAAGCGUGGGGAGCAAACAGG
rnacentral:rRNA from 1 species